GCGACUUACCACCGUAUGAAAAAGUUACAUCUGUCAACACAGAAAAUUUCAUCUCAACAAACCUGUCAUUGGCAAGUACCUGAACUACAUUUCAGUCACUCAGUAAAGUGAUAACUCAAAAUAUCAUUGUCAACAGAUCUGAAGAAAUUGCCACUGCGUCUUUAGACCGUUUUCGUCAGACGAGAGACACAGUUCUGACUCUGAUUACUGGUUGCUGUACGUAUCUACCCACAUCAAGGCUGUUUUUGAGAGAGACUCGUGAAGUUUCAAGACAGCUCUUAGAGGAUUUGCAG